rnacentral:rRNA from 1 species
GAUGAACGCUGGCGGCGUGCCUAAUACAUGCAAGUCGAGCGAACGGACGAGAAGCUUGCUUCUCUGAUGUUAGCGGCGGACGGGUGAGUAACACGUGGAUAACCUACCUAUAAGACUGGGAUAACUUCGGGAAACCGUAGCUAAUACCGGAUAAUAUUUUGAACCGCAUGGUUCAAAAGUGAAAGACGGUCUUGCUGUCACUUAUAGAUGGAUCCGCGCUGCAUUAGCUAGUUGGUAAGGUAACGGCUUACCAAGGCAACGAUGCAUAGCCGACCUGAGAGGGUGAUCGGCCACACUGGAACUGAGACACGGUCCAGACUCCUACGGGAGGCAGCAGUAGGGAAUCUUCCGCAAUGGGCGAAAGCCUGACGGAGCAACGCCGCGUGAGUGAUGAAGGUCUUCGGAUCGUAAAACUCUGUUAUUAGGGAAGAACAUAUGUGUAAGUAACUGUGCACAUCUUGACGGUACCUAAUCAGAAAGCCACGGCUAACUACGUGCCAGCAGCCGCGGUAAUACGUAGGUGGCAAGCGUUAUCCGGAAUUAUUGGGCGUAAAGCGCGCGUAGGCGGUUUUUUAAGUCUGAUGUGAAAGCCCACGGCUCAACCGUGGAGGGUCAUUGGAAACUGAAAAACUUGAGUGCAGAAGAGGAAAGUGGAAUUCCAUGUGUAGCGGUGAAAUGCGCAGAGAUAUGGAGGAACACCAGUGGCGAAGGCGACUUUCUGGUCUGUAACUGACGCUGAUGUGCGAAAGCGUGGGGAUCAAACAGGAUUAGAUACCCUGGUAGUCCACGCCGUAAACGAUGAGUGCUAAGUGUUAGGGGGUUUCCGCCCCUUAGUGCUGCAGCUAACGCAUUAAGCACUCCGCCUGGGGAGUACGACCGCAAGGUUGAAACUCAAAGGAAUUGACGGGGACCCGCACAAGCGGUGGAGCAUGUGGUUUAAUUCGAAGCAACGCGAAGAACCUUACCAAAUCUUGACAUCCUUUGACAACUCUAGAGAUAGAGCCUUCCCCUUCGGGGGACAAAGUGACAGGUGGUGCAUGGUUGUCGUCAGCUCGUGUCGUGAGAUGUUGGGUUAAGUCCCGCAACGAGCGCAACCCUUAAGCUUAGUUGCCAUCAUUAAGUUGGGCACUCUAAGUUGACUGCCGGUGACAAACCGGAGGAAGGUGGGGAUGACGUCAAAUCAUCAUGCCCCUUAUGAUUUGGGCUACACACGUGCUACAAUGGACAAUACAAAGGGCAGCGAAACCGCGAGGUCAAGCAAAUCCCAUAAAGUUGUUCUCAGUUCGGAUUGUAGUCUGCAACUCGACUACAUGAAGCUGGAAUCGCUAGUAAUCGUAGAUCAGCAUGCUACGGUGAAUACGUUCCCGGGUCU